rnacentral:rRNA from 1 species
UAAGCGACUAAGCGUACACGGUGGAUGCCCUGGCAGUCAGAGGCGAUGAAGGACGUGCUAAUCUGCGAUAAGCGUCGGUAAGGUGAUAUGAACCGUUAUAACCGGCGAUUUCCGAAUGGGGAAACCCAGUGUGAUUCGUCACACUAUCAUUAACUGAAUCCAUAGGUUAAUGAGGCGAACCGGGGGAACUGAAACAUCUAAGUACCCCGAGGAAAAGAAAUCAACCGAGAUUCCCCCAGUAGCGGCGAGCGAACGGGGAGCAGCCCAGAGCCUGAAUCAGUGUGUGUGUUAGUGGAAGCGUCUGGAAAGGCGCGCGAUACAGGGUGACAGCCCCGUACACAAAAAUGCACAUGCUGUGAGCUCGAUGAGUAGGGCGGGACACGUGGUAUCCUGUCUGAAUAUGGGGGGACCAUCCUCCAAGGCUAAAUACUCCUGACUGACCGAUAGUGAACCAGUACCGUGAGGGAAAGGCGAAAAGAACCCCGGCGAGGGGAGUGAAAAAGAACCUGAAACCGUGUACGUACAAGCAGUGGGAGCACGCUUAGGCGUGUGACUGCGUACCUUUUGUAUAAUGGGUCAGCGACUUAUAUUCUGUAGCAAGGUUAACCGAAUAGGGGAGCCGAAGGGAAACCGAGUCUUAACUGGGCGUUAAGUUGCAGGGUAUAGACCCGAAACCCGGUGAUCUAGCCAUGGGCAGGUUGAAGGUUGGGUAACACUAACUGGAGGACCGAACCGACUAAUGUUGAAAAAUUAGCGGAUGACUUGUGGCUGGGGGUGAAAGGCCAAUCAAACCGGGAGAUAGCUGGUUCUCCCCGAAAGCUAUUUAGGUAGCGCCUCGUGAAUUCAUCUCCGGGGGUAGAGCACUGUUUCGGCAAGGGGGUCAUCCCGACUUACCAACCCGAUGCAAACUACGAAUACCGGAGAAUGUUAUCACGGGAGACACACGGCGGGUGCUAACGUCCGUCGUGAAGAGGGAAACAACCCAGACCGCCAGCUAAGGUCCCAAAGUCAUGGUUAAGUGGGAAACGAUGUGGGAAGGCCCAGACAGCCAGGAUGUUGGCUUAGAAGCAGCCAUCAUUUAAAGAAAGCGUAAUGGCUCACUGGUCGAGUCGGCCUGCGCGGAAGAUGUAACGGGGCUAAACCAUGCACCGAAGCUGCGGCAGCGACGCUGAUGCGUUGUUGGGUAGGGGAGCGUUCUGUAAGCCUGCGAAGGUGUGCUGUGAGGCAUGCUGGAGGUAUCAGAAGUGCGAAUGCUGACAUAAGUAACGAUAAAGCGGGUGAAAAGCCCGCUCGCCGGAAGACCAAGGGUUCCUGUCCAACGUUAAUCGGGGCAGGGUGAGUCGACCCCUAAGGCGAGGCCGAAAGGCGUAGUCGAUGGGAAACAGGUUAAUAUUCCUGUACUUGGUGUUACUGCGAAGGGGGGACGGAGAAGGCUAUGUUGGCCGGGCGACGGUUGUCCCGGUUUAAGCGUGUAGGCUGGUUUUCCAGGCAAAUCCGGAAAAUCAAGGCUGAGGCGUGAUGACGAGGCACUACGGUGCUGAAGCAACAAAUGCCCUGCUUCCAGGAAAAGCCUCUAAGCAUCAGGUAACAUCAAAUCGUACCCCAAACCGACACAGGUGGUCAGGUAGAGAAUACCAAGGCGCUUGAGAGAACUCGGGUGAAGGAACUAGGCAAAAUGGUGCCGUAACUUCGGGAGAAGGCACGCUGAUAUGUAGGUGAAGUCCCUCGCGGAUGGAGCUGAAAUCAGUCGAAGAUACCAGCUGGCUGCAACUGUUUAUUAAAAACACAGCACUGUGCAAACACGAAAGUGGACGUAUACGGUGUGACGCCUGCCCGGUGCCGGAAGGUUAAUUGAUGGGGUUAGCGCAAGCGAAGCUCUUGAUCGAAGCCCCGGUAAACGGCGGCCGUAACUAUAACGGUCCUAAGGUAGCGAAAUUCCUUGUCGGGUAAGUUCCGACCUGCACGAAUGGCGUAAUGAUGGCCAGGCUGUCUCCACCCGAGACUCAGUGAAAUUGAACUCGCUGUGAAGAUGCAGUGUACCCGCGGCAAGACGGAAAGACCCCGUGAACCUUUACUAUAGCUUGACACUGAACAUUGAGCCUUGAUGUGUAGGAUAGGUGGGAGGCUUUGAAGUGUGGACGCCAGUCUGCAUGGAGCCGACCUUGAAAUACCACCCUUUAAUGUUUGAUGUUCUAACGUGGACCCGUAAUCCGGGUUGCGGACAGUGUCUGGUGGGUAGUUUGACUGGGGCGGUCUCCUCCUAAAGAGUAACGGAGGAGCACGAAGGUUGGCUAAUCCUGGUCGGACAUCAGGAGGUUAGUGCAAUGGCAUAAGCCAGCUUGACUGCGAGCGUGACGGCGCGAGCAGGUGCGAAAGCAGGUCAUAGUGAUCCGGUGGUUCUGAAUGGAAGGGCCAUCGCUCAACGGAUAAAAGGUACUCCGGGGAUAACAGGCUGAUACCGCCCAAGAGUUCAUAUCGACGGCGGUGUUUGGCACCUCGAUGUCGGCUCAUCACAUCCUGGGGCUGAAGUAGGUCCCAAGGGUAUGGCUGUUCGCCAUUUAAAGUGGUACGCGAGCUGGGUUUAGAACGUCGUGAGACAGUUCGGUCCCUAUCUGCCGUGGGCGCUGGAGAAUUGAGGGGGGCUGCUCCUAGUACGAGAGGACCGGAGUGGACGCAUCACUGGUGUUCGGGUUGUCAUGCCAAUGGCACUGCCCGGUAGCUAAAUGCGGAAGAGAUAAGUGCUGAAAGCAUCUAAGCACGAAACUUGCCCCGAGAUGAGUUCUCCCUGACUCCUUGAGAGUCCUGAAGGAACGUUGAAGACGACGACGUUGAUAGGCCGGGUGUGUAAGCGCAGCGAUGCGUUGAGCUAACCGGUACUAAUGAACCGUGAGGCUUAACCU